CACUGAGGGCUCCAAUGGAAUCCACAAAGCAAACGCCAGAGAGGACAUUAAGUGGAAACCCAGCCUAAAACUGAGGGGCCUGUCCAUUCCAGACUGGAUCCUGGGCUCAGCUGUUCUGGCUUGCAAUGAUGCCACUGGUGAUGAGGUCUCCAGUGGCAGCUUUUAUGACAGAGCUCCCUGGCUGGUUCCUGUUUUCUGGGAUCUUUCUGCCCGUGACUCUGCUGCUGCUCCUUCUCAUUGCUUACUUCAGAAUCAAAUUGAUGGAGUACCUAGAGACAAGACACUCUCCCUCUCAUCUGGUUGGUAUAUGCUAUCCUGGAGUGCCAUGUCUCAGUGACCUGGGGGAGUGGGGAUCCCUGGAGUGA
rnacentral:lncRNA from 1 species